rnacentral:rRNA from 1 species
AGGGUCCUACGGGAGGCAGCAGUGGGGGAUAUUGCACAAUGGGGGGAACCCUGAUGCGGCGACGCCGCGUGGGUGAAGAAGCGCCUCGGCGCGUAAAGCCCUGUCAGCAGGGAAGAAAAUGACGGUACCUGAAGAAGAAGCCCCGGCUAACUACGUGCCAGCAGCCGCGGUAAUACGUAGGGGGCAAGCGUUAUCCGGAAUCACUGGGUGUAAAGGGAGCGUAGACGGCUGUGCAAGCCUGAAGUGAAAGGCGGGGGCCCAACCCCUGGACUGCUUUGGGAACUGUACGGCUG